CCUACGGGAGGCAGCAGUGGGGAAUAUUGCACAAUGGGGGAAACCCUGAUGCAGCAACGCCGCGUGAAGGAUGACGGUUUUCGGAUUGUAAACUUCUUUUCUUAGUGAUGAAGACAGUGACGGUAGCUAAGGAAUAAGCAUCGGCUAACUACGUGCCAGCAGCCGCGGUAAUACGUAGGAUGCAAGCGUUAUCCGGAUUUACUGGGUGUAAAGGGAGCGCAGGCGGGACUGCAAGUUGGAUGUGAAAUACCGUGGCUUAACCACGGAACUGCAUCCAAAACUGUAGUUCUUGAGUGAAGUAGAGGCAAGCGGAAUUCCGAGUGUAGCGGUGAAAUGCGUAGAUAUUCGGAGGAACACCAGUGGCGAAGGCGGCUUGCUGGGCUUUAACUGACGCUGAGGCUCGAAAGUGUGGGGAGCAAACAGGAUUAGAUACCCUGGUAGUCCACACUGUAAACGAUGAUAGCUAGGUGUGGGGGGUCUGACCCCUUCCGUGCCGGAGUUAACGCAAUAAGCUAUCCACCUGGGGAGUACGACCGCAAGGUUGAAACUCAAAGGAAUUGACGGGGGCCCGCACAAGCAGUGGAGUAUGUGGUUUAAUUCGACGCAACGCGAAGAACCUUACCAAGUCUUGACAUCCCUUGACGAACAUAGAAAUAUGUUUUCUCUUCGGAGCAAGGAGACAGGUGGUGCAUGGUUGUCGUCAGCUCGUGUCGUGAGAUGUUGGGUUAAGU
rnacentral:rRNA from 1 species